GCUGGUGUAAAUGAUGACUUUCCACUUUUUUUCCCCAUCAGAUCGACAAUGCUGACGUUUUAAAACAUUUGGCCAGUUAUUUCUGACACACCGGC